rnacentral:rRNA from 1 species
AAAAACAUGGCUCUUUGCUCACACAAAUAUAAAGAGUCGAGCCUGCCCAGUGAAUUUUUAACGGCCGCGGUACUCUGACCGUGCAAAGGUAGCAUAAUCAUUUGCCUUAUAAUUGAAGGCUAGUAUGAAUGGUUUGACGAGAGCAAUACUGUCUCCUUUUUAUUUUCAAGAACUUAACUUUUAGGUGAAGAGGCCUAAAUUUUAUUGAAGGACAAGAAGACCCUGUCGAGCUUAAAAGACAUUAUAGGAGUCUAGUAUAUUUUUAGAUAAAUUUUCUAUCAAGCUUUUUAGUUGGGGCGACUAAGGAACAAAAAAAGCUUCUUUCCAAAAAUAAACAAUCAUGUUUAGAUCCGAUAAUAGCGAUUAAAGAAAUUAGUUACCGCAGGGAUAACAGCAUAAUCUCUCUUAAGAGACCUAAUCGAAAGAGGGGGUUGUGACCUCGAUGUUGGACUAGAAUACCCUAAAGAUGCAGAAGUCUUUGAGGGUCGGUCUGUUCGACCGUUAAAAUUCUACGUGAUCUGA